UACGAGGGGGGCAAAUGUUGUUCGGAAUCACUGGGCGUAAAGGGCGCGUAGGCGGGUGUUUAAGUUAGGUGUUUAAUCCUGGGGCCCAACCCCAGUCGUGCACCUAAAACUGGACAUCUUGAAUAGUGGAGAGGUCAGUGGAAUUGGGGGUGUAGCGGUGGAAUGCGUAGAGAUCCCCAAGAACACCAGUUGCGAAGGCGGCUGACUGGACACAUGUUGACGCUGAGGCUCGAAAGCAUGGGGAGCAAACAGG
rnacentral:rRNA from 1 species